GACGCAGUAGCUCUAAGGGUAGAGCCCCGUCUCGGCGGGAGUGGUGCAGGGUUCGAGUCCCUGCCUGCGUCACCA
rnacentral:tRNA from 1 species